AGUGAACGCUGGCGGUAGGCCUAACACAUGCAAGUCGAACGGCAGCACAGUAAGAGCUUGCUCUUACGGGUGGCGAGUGGCGGACGGGUGAGGAAUACAUCGGAAUCUACUUUUUCGUGGGGGAUAACGUAGGGAAACUUACGCUAAUACCGCAUACGACCUACGGGUGAAAGCAGUGGAUCUUCGGACCUUGCGCGAUUGAAUGAGCCGAUGUCGGAUUAGCUAGUUGGCGGGGUAAAGGCCCACCAAGGCGACGAUCCGUAGCUGGACUGAGAGGAUGAUCAGCCACACUGGAACUGAGACACGGUCCAGACUCCUACGGGAGGCAGCAGUGGGGAAUAUUAGACAAUGGGCGCAAGCCUGAUCCAGCCAUACCGCGUGGGUGGAGAAGGCCUUCGGGUUGUAAAGCCCUUUUGUUGGGAAAGAAAAGCAGCAGGUUAAUACCCCGCUGUUCUGACGGUACCCAAAGAAUAAGCACCGGCUAACUUCGUG
rnacentral:rRNA from 1 species